GGGGUGCUGGCCACGCAGGAGGCUUAACCUGGCCGGCGCGGGAAUGGGGUGCAGAGAGCAAAGAAAUGUGGCUUUGAUCUUAUGGAUGCCUUACUUUUACAUUAUUUGUACAGUUCUUGCAGUGAGCUUUCCGGACCACUGUCUUGUAUGUUUCCUAAGAAAAGCAAAAAGGGAAGAGAUUGAAGAGAAAGUAGAUUUUCAACUACAAACUUUCAUCCAUUUGCUUUCAGCUUAAGCAAAUGUGCGCAAAGUUGUCAUGGAUUUUUGCAGUCAAUAAAAACCAAGCAAGAAGACUGAAUCCCAAGUCAUCUGAGGAAAUGCACGCGUGGAAACAGGAGUGGGCAGGGAGGAUGUGACACUGUCCUCCUCACCAGGCCACGUUCCUGGCACCAACCAUAGUGUUGGGGCAGAUAAGAAAAGAAACAAUUUGCUGAAACUCCCUCUGCUUAUAACAAAACUGACUGAAAUCAGCCGGAAUCAAUAUGGCCAAAUGCAGUUUGCGCACAGCAAGCUUGCUGAUGUCACAGCCUGAAUUUCUACUGCAUGUUUCAUACCAACUCCCUCCAAAUUUGCACAUGGGACCCACCAGGAAGCAUGAAGAGAGAGCCAUGCAUGCCUGAAGACUUCCCAGAUGUUCCCUUUGCUUCCACCAAUCACCUGCUAACCCCAGGAUCCAACCCUAAACCUUUUGUAAUAAAAUUACUGCCCUAAAGCCAGUACAAGACAGAUUUGAACUGGACUUUUGUUUCCUCAGAAGUUAACUUGCAAUGUGAAGCUUUCCUUUUCUCAAAAACUUGGUGUCAUAGUGUUGGCUUCUAGUGCAGUGAGCCCCUUUUGCU
rnacentral:lncRNA from 10 species